GGAAGGGGAAGUUGUAACAAGGUUUCCGUAGGUGAACCUGSGGAAGGAUCMUUCAUGUUUUAUAUUAUUYUAAGUUGUUUUUAUUAAMUUYUUCAGUGUAMUAUUAWUUUUGCGGUCAAMUUCCUUYUCCUUUGUGAGAUUGUAUUUUUUUUGGUAAKGUCKUCAGAUUUUAUCUACAUGUAACAUAACAAUUUUUGAGAACAGAAAAGAAAACUAAGUUUUUCUUAUUAUUGACAUACAACCCGUGGCGGGGGAUGUCUCGGCUUCCACAUCGAUGAAGAACGUAGCAAAAUGCGAUAUGUWAKGCGAUUUGCAGAACUCGUGAGUCAUCGAAUUUUUGAACGCAAGUGGCGCUCGCGGGAAAUCCUGCGAGCACGUCUGUUUGAGUGUCCGUACAAAAACUAAAACACAUGUUUUUUUGACCUUUGUUUCCCUUUGACGACUUGAGAGUAUAUUUUAUAUGUUCUCUUGUUGCCAGUGUUGAGUGCUUCCGUUCACAAUUUCCCUUCGAGGUUAUAUAGGAUGGUCACUUUAAGUUGAGAGGUUGCUGAUCGAUCCACUUUAUUGUGUCGAGCGGUAACCAUUGUUUUGACAUUAGUCUUUUUUGCAUAGACCAAUAUCUUUUGUUUUUUGUUUUGAGACUCUUUCUUUUGGGUUUUGACUCUGGUGGAUACAUUAAUUUGUGUUUGUCUAGGAUUUGAUUUGUGUCCUUUCAGUCGAGGCGUAAUGGUUGUGAAAUGAUGAAUCUAAUUCUUUUUACUAGCAACUAUUCUGACUCUUGGAGGUUUGAUCUGCUUAUCUGAAAAGGUUGAAGUCGUGUGAGGGGAGAGACUUGACGAAAAUGGUAGGGGUCGCGCUUAACGGUAUCUAGGCAACUAGGUAGUGAWSSSCAAUUGCUUUGUAGACUGUCGAGACGAAAUUAAUGUUUUUGGAUCUCAAAUCAGGCGAGACUACCCGCUGAAUUUAAGCAUAUCAAUAAGG
rnacentral:rRNA from 1 species